CCUACGGGCGGCUGCAGUGGGGAAUUUUGCGCAAUGGGCGAAAGCCUGACGCAGCAACGCCGCGUGCGGGAUGACGGCCUUCGGGUUGUAAACCGCUUUCAGCAGGGAAGAAAUUGACGGUACCUGCAGAAGAAGCUCCGGCUAACUACGUGCCAGCAGCCGCGGUAAUACGUAGGGAGCAAGCGUUAUCCGGAUUUAUUGGGCGUAAAGCGCGCGUAGGCGGUUUGUUAAGCGGAAUCUCUAAUCUGAGGGCUCAACCCCCAGCCGGAUUCCGAACUGGCAGACUCGAGUUUGGUAGAGGAAGAUGGAAUUCCCAGUGUAGCGGUGAAAUGCGCAGAUAUUGGGAAGAACACCGAUGGCGAAGGCAGUCUUCUGGGCCAUAACUGACGCUGAGGUGCGAAAGCGUGGGGAGCAAACAGGCUUAGAUACCCCAGUAGUC
rnacentral:rRNA from 1 species